rnacentral:rRNA from 1 species
UGCCAGACUCCUACGGGAGGCAGCAGUGAGGAAUAUUGGUCAAUGGGCGGGAGCCUGAACCAGCCAAGUCGCGUGAGGGACGACGGUCCUAUGGAUUGUAAACCUCUUUUGUCGGGGAACAAAGGCGCCCACGGGUGGGCGGAUGAGUGUACCCGAAGAAAAAGCAUCGGCUAACUCCGUGCCAGCAGCCGCGGUAAUACGGAGGAUGCGAGCGUUAUCCGGAUUUAUUGGGUUUAAAGGGUGCGUAGGCGGACCGUAAAGUCAGCGGUAAAAUGGCGGGGCUCAACCCCGUCGAGCCGUUGAAACUGGCAGACUUGAGUUGGCGAGAAGUACGCGGAAUGCGCGGUGUAGCGGUGAAAUGCAUAGAUAUCGCGCAGAACUCCGAUUGCGAAGGCAGCGUACCGGCGCCAGACUGACGCUGAGGCACGAAAGCGUGGGGAUCGAACAGGAUUAGAUACCCGUGUAA